rnacentral:rRNA from 1 species
UAAUNUUUUUAAGAAUGCCNUGGCUUCGGAAGCGGGGGAUUUNUUUGAUCAAAAAUAACCCGUUUGCAAANGCGGUUUUUUGAAGACUCGGAAAACUUUACUAAUCGAACAACCUUAGCGUUGACGGUGAUCUCUUGAAAUGGCUGACCUAUCAACUUUCGAUGGUAAGAUCAAAGCUUACCAUGGUUGUAACGGGUAACGGGGAAUCAGUGUUCGAUUCCGGAGAGGGAGCCUGAGAAACGGCUACCACAUCCACGGAAGGCAGCAGGCGCGUAAAUUACCCAAUACCGGCUCGGUGAGGUAGUGACAAAAAUUAACAAUAUGGGCCCUAGUGGUUUCAUAAUUGCAAUGAGAAUAUUUUAAAUACUUUAUCAAGUAUCAAUUGGAGGGCAAGUCUGGUGCCAGCAGCCGCGGUAAUUCCAGCUCCAAAAGCGUAUAUUAAAGUUGUUGCAGUUAAAAAGCUCGUAGUUGAAAUUGGGGAAUCUAAAUGAAUUGAAAUCUUUGAUUGAAAUUUAUUUGGUCCUUGUUUGUCAUGUAUAUUAUUCUGGUACUUUACUGUAUUAGUUUAAUAACUGACUAGUUUACUUUGAAAAAAUUAGAGUGCUUAAAGCAGGCUUAUGCUUGUAUAUUGUUGCAUGGAAUAAUAAAAUAGGACUUCGGUUUUAUUUUGUUGGUUUUCGAAACUGAAGUAAUGAUUAAAAGAGACUGCCGGGGGCAUGUGUAUGCUGAUGUUAGAGGUGAAAUUCUUAGAUCAUCAGCAGACAAACUACUGCGAAAGCAUUUGCCAAGAAUGUUUUCAUUAAUCAAGAACGAAAGUCAGAGGAUCGAAGACGAUCAGAUACCGUCCUAGUUCUGACCAUAAACUAUGCCAACUGACAGUUAGCUAAGGUAUAUUCAUAUCCUUGCUAGAAGUCACCGGGAAACCUAAGUCUAUGGGUUCCGGGGGAAGUAUGGUUGCAAAGCUGAAACUUAAAGGAAUUGACGGAAGGGCACCACAAGGAGUGGAGCCUGCGGCUUAAUUUGACUCAACACGGGAAAUCUCACCCGGUCCGGACACUGUGAGGAUUGACAGAUUGAUAGCUCUUUCUUGAUUCGGUGGGUGGUGGUGCAUGGCCGUUCUUAGUUGGUGGAGCGAUUUGUCUGGUUAAUUCCGAUAACGAACGAGACUCGAGCCUGCUUUUUAGUGUAUCUGUGUUAAAUCGCAGAUAAUUCACUUCUUAGAGGAAUAAAUAGCGUUUAGCUAAAUGAAAAUGAGCAAUAACGGGUCUGUGAUGCCCUUAGAUGUCCGGGGCCGCACGCGCGCUACAAUGUCAGUAACAACGAGUUUUUCCUAACUAGAAAUGGUUGGGUAAUCUGUUGAAUCACUGUCGUAUCAGGAAUAGUGGAUUGAAAUUNUUUCACUUGAACGAGGAAUUCCUAGUAAGCGCAAGUCACUAACUUGCGCUGAUUACGUCCCUGCCCUUUGUACACACCGCCCGUCGCUACUACCGAUUGAAUGGUUUAGUGAGAUUGUUGGAUUCUAAUCUAAGAAAUGGCAACAUUUCU